rnacentral:lncRNA from 1 species
UAGUGGUAACUGCGGUGACCCCAUGAGGUCUAGUGGUUGCCACGGCGACCCAAUGAGGCCUAGCAGCCACUGCGGUAACCCCGUGAGGCCUAGCGGUUGCCAUGGCAACCUGCUGAGCUCUUGUGGUCAUUGCGGUGACUCCAUGAGGCCUAGAGGUUGCCAUGGCAACCUGCUGAGGCCUAGCAGUCACUGUGGAGGCCCCGUGAAGGCUAGUGGUUGCCACGGCGACCCGCUAAGACCUAGUGGUCACUGGGGAGGCCUAGCGGUUGCUGUGGCAACCCGCUGAGGCCUAGCAGUCACCGCAGAGGCCUGUUGAGGCCUAGCGGUUGCCACGGCGACCUGCUGAGGCCUAGGAGCCACUGCGGUGCCGCCAUGAGGCCUGGUAGUUGCCAUGGCGACCUGUUGAGGCCUGCUGAGGCCUAGUGGUCACAGCAGGGGCCUAGCAGUCACCGCUGAGGCCUAGUGGUUGCCACGGUGACCCGCCGAGGCCUAGCGGUCACCGCAGAGGCCCGUGGAGGCCCGGCGGUGGCCGCGGCUCCUGACGCCACCUCCCGGCGGUGCCCCGCAGGGUCGGUGUCGCUGUGGCGCGAGGUGCGGGGCUGCGUGCGGGACGGCGCCUGCACCCGGGCGGAGAAGGGCGGCGGCGCCGUGGGGCUGCGGGGCUCCUGCUGCGCCGGCAGCCUCUGCAACCGCGACCUCACCAACAAGACCUUCUUCGCCCCCGACCUGCCCCGCCUCGAGCUGCUGCCCCACGGCCACGGCCCCACGGCGCCCCACAACGCCACCGCCGGAACGGCCGCCACCCACGUGGCCGCCGCCGCCACCGCCACCACCACCACCACCACCACCAAGGCCGCCGCCACCACCGACAUGGCCGCCGCCACCACCAACAUGGCCGCCACCACCACCAACAUGGCGGCCUCCACUGGGGGCCCCCACCUGGCUCCUGCCCCCGCUCCUGAUCCUGGCGCUGCUCUGACCCCUCCCUCCACCAUGGGGGGGGGGACCCCAAAAUCGCGUG